rnacentral:rRNA from 1 species
UACGGGGGGGGCAAGCGUUGUUCGGAAUUACUGGGCGUAAAGGGCUCGUAGGCGGCCAACUAAGUCAGACGUGAAAAUCCCUCGGCUUAACCGGGGAACUGCGUCUGAUACUGGAUGGCUAGAGGUUGGGAGAGGGAUGCGGAAUUCCAGGUGUAGCGGUGAAAUGCGUAGAUAUCAGAAGGAACGCCGGUGGCGAAAGCGGCGCGCUGGAUCUCUUCUGACGCUGAGGCGCGAAAGCUAGGGGAGCAAACGGG